rnacentral:rRNA from 1 species
UACGUAUGGUGCAAGCGUUAUCCGGAAUUAUUGGGCGUAAAGCGCGCGUAGGCGGUUUCUUAAGUCUGAUGUGAAAGCCCACGGCUCAACCGUGGAGGGUCAUUGGAAACUGGGAAACUUGAGUGCAGAAGAGGAAAGUGGAAUUCCAUGUGUAGCGGUGAAAUGCGCAGAGAUAUGGAGGAGCACCAGUGGCGAAGGCGACUUUCUGGUCUGUAACUGACGCUGAUGUGCGAAAGCGUGGGGAUCAAACAGG